rnacentral:rRNA from 1 species
UACAGGGGGGGCAAGCGUUGUUCGGAAUUACUGGGCGUAAAGGGUGCGUAGGUGGGUAAGUAAGUCAGUGGUGAAAUCUCCGGGCUUAACCCGGAAACUGCCAUUGAUACUAUUUGUCUUGAAUACUGUGGAGGUCAGCGGAAUAUGUCAUGUAGCGGUGAAAUGCGCAGAUAUUAGGAGGAACACCGGUGGCGAAGGCGCCGCUCUGGGCCGAAACUGACGCUGAGGAGCGAAAGCAUGGGUAGCAAACAGG